UGGUUCCGUGGUGUAGGGGUUAACAUGCCUGCCUGUCACGCAGGAGAUCGCGGGUUCGAUUCCCGUCGGGACCGUC
rnacentral:tRNA from 3 species